GGUUCGGUGGUGUAGUUGGUGUAUCACUUCUGUCUAACACACUUUGCGCAUGUACACAGACGGUCGCCAGUUCGAAACCGGGUCGAAACA